rnacentral:misc_RNA from 1 species
GAUGAAGAACGCAGCGAAAUGCGAUACGUAAUGUGAAUUGCAAAUUCAGUGAAUCAUCGAGUCUUUGAACGCACAUUGCGCCCCCUGGUAUUCCGGGGGGCAUGCCUGUCCGAGCGUCAUUGCUGCCCUCAAGCACGGCUUGUGUGUUGGGCCCCGUCCUCCGAUCCCGGGGGACGGGCCCGAAAGGCAGCGGCGGCACCGCGUCCGGUCCUCGAGCGUAUGGGGCUUUGUCACCCGCUCUGUAGGCCCGGCCGGCGCUUGCCGAUCAACCCAAAUUUGUAUCCAGGUUGACCUCGGAUCAGGUAGGGAUACCCGCUGAACUUAAGCAUAUCAAUAAGCGGAGGA